GAUGAACGCUGGCGGCGUGCCUAAUACAUGCAAGUCGAGCGGACAGACGAGGAGCUUGCUCCACUGACGUUAGCGGCGGACGGGUGAGUAACACGUGGAUAACCUACCUAUAAGACUGGGAUAACUUCGGGAAACCGGAGCUAAUACCGGAUAAUAUAUUGAACCGCAUGGUUCAAUAGUGAAAGACGGUUUUGCUGUCACUUAUAGAUGGAUCCGCGCCGCAUUAGCUAGUUGGUAAGGUAACGGCUUCCCAAGGCAACGAUGCGUAGCCGACCUGAGAGGGUGAUCGGCCACACUGGAACUGAGACACGGUCCAGACUCCUACGGGAGGCAGCAGUAGGGAAUCUUCCGCAAUGGGCGAAAGCCUGACGGAGCAACGCCGCGUGAGUGAUGAAGGUCUUCGGAUCGUAAAACUCUGUUAUUAGGGAAGAACAAAUGUGUAAGUAACUAUGCACGUCUUGACGGUACCUAAUCAGAAAGCCACGGCUAACUACGUG
rnacentral:rRNA from 1 species